rnacentral:lncRNA from 1 species
CCCUUGGCACAUUCCGAGACGGGGCCGAUGCGCUCAGGGAUGGUGGGGUCGUACCAGACGCUGUUCUGAGGGAAGGCCGUCUCACCGCCCUCCUCCACGUCGGACAGGUACAUCAGGAAGGUGGCCAGGCGCCACUUGGGCCCGACAUGGUCCGAGGACGCGCCUGAGUCGUAGUGGGCGCCAUACGUCUGCCCGUGCGCGUAACGGAGCACCUGGGGUGCGGGAGCGUGGGAGGCGAAGAGCAACAUAGAGUGAUGUGUCGGGCAACUAGUGGAUUAUGCUAGUCGAUGCAGCCUUUCGAUUAAGGACAUGUGUUGAAAUUCCAGUCAGGUGCCAUGUCACUUCGUGUUCAUGUUUACGGGAUGCACUUUAUGUAAAUCUAUGUUGUGUGCCCUUGCUUUAGGUAUUGUUGUAUAUUAUCACAAGCAGCUUAAUACUGGCAAGCGGCAAUAGAAAUCAACGGGACCAAAGCGACGUAGUGCGCCGGGAUGGGAAUAGGAGCGACCCCGUUAGCUUAAGGGCUUACCUGAAUGUCCUCCUGGUGCUCAAUAGGAAGGUGCGUCCAGAGGGAGAUGCGCUUCUCAAUUCGUGCGAUGAUGGGGUCUGACAGGCGGCGAAUGAACAUGCCGAAGCUAGUCCGGAUGUUAUCGACCACGCCCUCACCCUUGGAGCCAACAACCGUAGAGCGCUUCAGCUUUGGGGCUGCGAGUCGAACCAUGUGCGCGCGCUCAGCCUUGGUGAGGAAGUUGUGGAAAAGGUAGGCGCGGGGGUGUAGCCCGACCUGCUCCACCCAAGGCGUCGCCUCCUCAUCGAAUUGCUUAUCCGCCUCAGUAUGCUGCAAUAACCGAUUAAGAGGGAGCAUAGCUGAGAGUUCGUGGGGCCAUUUGUAGGCCCUAAUCAAGGCAUCGCGUGACAUGCCGGUGUCGUGGCAUCUUGCAACUGCUCUCACCAUUACAAGUGCACUCUCCAGGAGCCGCUCUGGAAGACCUCCCCAACUUGAGCCAUCCUGGCUACCUGCGAAGUGAAAAUUAUGAGUGUGAUAAGGACUUAACUGAACGUUAACUCCCCUUUCGGUCAAUUCUUCGCUGGUUACUUACAACUCCCAAAUGUUGCUCGUAUAAGUAAUAAAGAAGCAAAUGUAAGUGCCCUAUUCAUCCUAAUUGGGUAACACCUCUGCAAAUUGGAUGUCGGAAAGCAGAUUUGGCAGUCAAUUAUGCGAACGUAAUAAAUUUGUAGAAGGUUUUGCCAGUGUGAUAGCACUGCAAUGUAUAGGCAUGAGGCUCUUUAAAUGCACUUGCGAGAAGGCGACCGUAACUCGCUCUGAGGUACAUGGGACUGAAUCAGGUACACGAUUUGCGCCCGCCGAAGGGUGACCAUCAAAAUUCAGGCUUCCAGAUUUCAUGAUCAUCUGGGAAACUUGCUUCAUAGUGACUGCGAAGAUCUGGUGAAUGUUUUAGAUUCCCCAGUUGUGUCGAUGACCUAAUAGGGCUUAAUCUCCAUCACUUCCUCACCGCCUCCUUCAUGGACGGCUGAACUUCAAGAUCUUGGUCAGCGUAACCCAGCUGUUAUAGCACAGCAGGUUUUCAAUCUGUCCAUGACUCCAUAUGCAGCCGCUAACAUGAUGAGGGACACCCAAUUCAAGGCCUCCACCGGUUUUUGAGAGACCUUGGAUGGGAGUGUACACGGAAUCUCGGUCCUCUUUCACGUCCUUCGGAAAGGGCACUGCGCAACUUUUGGGUCGCAUUGGGAAAACCCCACGGCUCCACUUGUCCACUCUUGCUCCCUGAUGGUAUAGAUGCUGCCUAAUGCGGAGUCUCCCAUUUGAUACAUCCCCGAAGUCACCCCCGUGGAAACCCACACGUUUCAAUGCCAUUGCAGUAUUGGCGGCGGAGCCCGAUUGCCUCGUAUUUUAGCAGGCAUACAGUGUUCAUAGACCGUUACAAUUUGUAAGGCAAGCAUCAGCCACCUACAAGAUGGGCAAACUCCAAUGUGGAGCGAACGUGGACACCCACAGGGCCACAAUGUUUACGAUAUGUCAAUUACCUCCUUCCUGAGGUGCUAACGGUCUGCUCCAAACCUGCACUCGACCCGAUAGGGGUCACUGUAACAAUCGCAAGCUGGUCCAAACCGCAACAAAACAACCUGCGCCGCUACAUUCAUUGCCUGUGCAUAUCACAUCGAUUCACACAUUUCCCAGGCAGUAUAAGCGGCGAGCGUGGGCGUAUGAUCGCUAGUACGACCGAAUGCAGCGGCACUGCGCACUGAGAUACCGCAAUCCUGUAUGGUUGGUUGAUCGCGAACGAAAAAAUUUUAAGCCCGAUGUUCGGAAAAGAAUUUGUCAUGCAUCUGUACUUGCAUCAUGACAUCCAAAUGCACAAGAGCGUAUGCUGCCUCAUGGCUCCUCAACCUACCCCUGAACCCGCCCUGCACCCGCUCCAACCCAGUAAACCAUAUAGCUUCUUCCUGUCUCAUAGGCCACAAUAGGACCAUUGCAGCGUCACGAAAAAUAGCAACAGUGCGCAAAGCAAGCCAGUCUAGAGUACCCAACCGGCUUGAGAAAAAGACGCGGCAAAUGCUGAUUAAAGAGAUGCCACUGGCAUUGCUUAUUCCCGGCAAAGCGCCACGCUGGCGCUGACAAGCCAUGCAUAUAAAUCUGUCACUGUUGACCUGACACUUACCCGGGUCCUCGAAGUCAAUUGUACAGGCACAAAGUGUAACGAGGAGCACACGUGUAUCCGUAUCCCUCCUGCUCGCGUCUUUCCACCUCUUGUUGCGGCUGAUGGGGUGGCAUGCUGCCUUGUAAGCAGCAGUCCGAAAAUCUUGCAUUGCAGCACGCCACCCCACUCCUCGGUAAUUUUCCCCGACCCAGAUCGCAAUCGGCACUUCUCUGCUGAAGCAAUACUCACCACUACUGUCUAGCUGCCCACUGGUGUACAUGACUAAGCACCUAUCGCGCCAUGUCGCACCUUUAUGGGCCCUUUCCCCGGGGAAUCCAUCCCCUCCGCAUUAUUAUGGGGCCCAACAAGCAAUGCCAUGCCGUCUCGAGUUGCGCCGCGUUGUGGCCACCAUCAUCAACACUUAACGUAUCAACAGAUCAAGAGAAAUCCCUCAAGAGCUACACACGGCUUGUAAAGCUGCAGCUACAGUUAAAGCUCCGGCGACUGGUCCUCUUGCCAAAUGUCUCCCGCCCCCAGCCACUCCAGCUCAUUCUUGUUCAGCUUCCAGUAGCCGCCACGCUCACGGUUGCGGUUGAUGCAUUCCAUGUCGCCGCUGCGGCACGUCUCGCAGGUACGGCAGCUCUUACGGCACGUACCCAGAUUGUCCAUGCCGCCGGACAUGAAGCCGCGGUUCUUCUCACACUCGCCGGCAGCGGCCCACUCGCCGCAACGAGGAUGCAGGUCUGUACAGGAGCUGGCGUCGGGCUCGUUGUCGGGUAUCAUCUGGACGCCAUUGGCAAUCUCCUCGGGACGGAAGGGGAUAUCGUGCAUCUGGACAAGUAUAGGAAACAGGGGUUGGUGGUGGAGGUCAAUUGGUAAACAAGAACACGAAUGAGGUUGAAACUAUCUGUUCGUGAGACGUCGAAAGCCCCAGUGAAGCACAACCCAAUAACCCAUCCUGCCACCGCACUCACCCACACGGGGGCCGCCCACUUGAUGCCCUUGAUCACGGGGCAACCCGUGUGCAUGGCGGCUGGGUCCAUGGUAAGAUUGGGGUAGAACGAGUAGAACAGUACGGCGUCCCCGGCCUUGGGUUUCGCGGCGACAUGGCCCUUGGCACAUUCCGAGACGGGGCCGAUGCGCUCAGGGAUGGUGGGGUCGUACCAGACGCUGUUCUGAGGGAAGGCCGUCUCACCGCCCUCCUCCACGUCGGACAGGUACAUCAGGAAGGUGGCCAGGCGCCACUUGGGCCCGGGCUCAUUGGAUUUGUCCCCCGAGUCGUAGUGGGCGCCAUACGUCUGCCCGUGCGCGUAUCGG